GCAAUAUGCAGUUGCUUUGGUUCCGACGGGGUGACUCGCCGGCUAAGAGGGAAGCCGGUGAGGGUCCGGCACUGCCCCCGCAACUGUAAACGGCGAGUUUCAGUCCAUUCCACUGGUGUCGGACGGCACCGGGAAGGCGGACAGGGAACGCUUGAGCCGCAAGUCAGGAGACCUGCCAGGGCAUGAACGACGAC
rnacentral:ncRNA from 2 species